rnacentral:rRNA from 1 species
CCUACGGGGGGCAGCAGUGAGGAAUAUUGGUCAAUGGGCGCGAGCCUGAACCAGCCAAGUAGCGUGAAGGAUGACUGCCCUACGGGUUGUAAACUUCUUUUAUAAAGGAAUAAAAUGAUGCACGUUUGCCUUUUUGUAUGUACUGUAUGAAUAAGGAUCGGCUAACUCCGUGCCAGCAGCCGCGGUAAUACGUAGGUUCCGAGCUUUAUCCGGAUUUAUUGGGUUUAAAGGGAUGGUAGAUGGGUUGUUAAGUCAGUUGUGAAAGUAUGCGGCUCAACCGGCAAAUUGCAAGUGAUACGGGCAGUCGUGAGUACAGUUGAGGUAGACGGAAUUCGUGGUGGAGCGGUGAGAUGCUUAGA